ACGUAAUAUCGUCACAAGUUCGGAUAAUUAAUGAUCAGCAGCAAUGACGCAGUCUAAAAAAUGAACAGCUGGGCCGCUUCGUUUCGAACAAGAGUUUCCAGCGAACGCCGCGACGCGGCGCUAGUGGCGCGCUUCUCUCUACCCGUGAAAAUCCUCACAGUUGCUCUCGUGAAUUAAUUGACGAUUCUUCAAAGCACUGACGCAUACCUACUCUGCAGUGUGUGCCGUGUACUACAGGUUGUCUUCGACAAGCCGCCUCUUCAUGAGAACACAGAGCACGAAGGUUCGACAGGCGACAUAUUAAAUGAAAAAAUAAAAGAAGGCGUGGGCCUCGCACAGGCAUCCCGUACACGACGAGGGGACGCCUAACCCAAGUUUCACGAAGUACAGAACUACGGGCUGCGCCGUAAAGCUUCGACUGACGAGAGUUACGAAUUUCUACAGUAAAUAGAGAAUACUUUACCUGCAUCAGGAUACGCGUCGUUACAUUAAAACGUUGACGGCGUUCCUGGUCAUAUGACGUGAGGUGAGAAUUCGCCCAGCAUCCGUUCAUCGUGCUUGGAGGGUCGUUCGGUUGCACUUUCACUGGAGAUCGUUUAUCGCAACCGGGACACGGCUGAAGAAAAAGGCACGUUAAUCGACGAUAAUUCUGUGGAUAUUUGCGACGGUGACUGUGCAGGUUGACGUUGCGCGGCAAUCGGGCUCAGCGCGCGUCUCAUUAAUAUUUAUAAGGUUCACUUGUUUCUCCUGCCUCUCUUCUUCGGUGUUUUCUUUUUCUAAUUCUUUCUUUUUUACUUCUUUUUCCUCGUAUCUCUGUCCACCUUUCCUAACUCGUCCUUCGCAAGCGUGAAUCGAGAGGUGCUCGUAAUAUUAUGCGAAGGACGUAAACGCAAUAUUUUCCAACGACUUAUGACCCCCUGGCGGUUGCUGGUAAUUACUAGAAAAUUAUGUCGCGUUCAUACCCACUAAUCUCAAUCGUUCUACAUCCAGUUCAUUCACAGGAACAACUUUGUCAGCGUGCAUAAACAUUUAUAUCGUGUUCCUUUGACAGAUUUUUUAUUUAAUAUCGUCUUACACAUGCAUGUACGCAAGAAAAAAAAAAUUAUUCAAGUCAAGUCAAAGAAAAAUACAUUAAAGUCAAAAAGCAACUACGUCGCUCGUUGAAUAUUCAGCAUUUCUCGAUUCUCCCUCGUCCCCGUCAACGUCACUGAAAGAUUUUCCAAAGCAUCCGGAUGAAUAAAAACGAUAAAAAGAGAGGCAACAAAAGUGAAAAUUUAUUCGCUAGAAAAAAAAAAAAGAGUAAAUAACCAAACCAAAAAUCAACGCGCAUUCUCUGACACGACGAAGACGUCGCGACGGACUGCAAACCGACCGGGUCAAGAUAGGCGUCUAGUCGCGAAAGCAAAGCACGUCGAACAAGUAAACUCCAUUAAGAAUCUUUACGUAUAAAUGAUUAAUAAAUGCUGUGGUAAUUGCCGCAUACGCCAAACCUCCUUGUAAUCCAUUACGACGUCCAGCUCGUAAAUCUUGAUCGGCAGCCAUGAUAGAAACGCCAUACCAUAUAAUACUCGGAUUCAUAUCGCAUUCUCACCUCUUCAACAAAAAAAAAAAAAAAUUCCUCCAUUCCCUCCAUACGACUUGACCUUUGCCCUUAGACGAGCAUAAAGUUCAAACUCUCGUAUAAUUUCACGUAAUUUCCAUCAGCG